UACGUAGGGUGCGAGCGUUGUCCGGAAUUAUUGGCUUAAAGAGCUCGUAGGCGGUCUGUCGCGUCGAUCGUGAAAACUUGGGGCUUAACCCUGAGCUUGCGGUCGAUACGGGCAUGACUGGAGUUCGGCAGGGGAGACUGGAAUUCCUGGUGUAGCGGUGAAAUGCGCAGAUAUCAGGAGGAACACCGAUGGCGAAGGCAGGUCACUGGGCCGCAACUGACGCUGAGGAGCGAAAGCAUGGGGAGCGAACAGG
rnacentral:rRNA from 1 species